GUAGAUAUGGUUUAACGAAAACAUUAGAUUGUGAUUCUAGAAAUAGGGGUUAGAUUCCCUUUGUCCACC
rnacentral:tRNA from 1 species